rfam:Biomphalaria glabrata isolate BB02 unplaced genomic scaffold LGTN_random_Scaffold12777, whole genome shotgun sequence.
UGGCUGAGCGGUAAAGCGCUUGGCUUCUGAACAGGGGGGUCCCGGGUUCGAAUCCUGG